UUCGGACAAAUGCUGCAUAAGUAUUAUGUAGAGGAAAGUCCAUGCUCACACAGACCUGUGAUGGCUGUAGUGUUUGUGCUUAGGGAAAAAAUAACCUAAGGUAGCAUUUUGCUAACGGCGGAUAAAAAGUCUAAAAGUGUAUACUCAUGACUGAGUAAUCCAUAAAGUGCCAUAGUAACGUACAAACUGGAAACGGUGGAAAUGGAACGCGGUAAACCCCACAAGUGAGAAAUCCAAAAUUUGGUAGGAGAGCUCUUACAAAAGAAUAAAAUGGCGUAAGGGUCUAGUUUUAACUAGAAGAUAAAUAUUUGUCGCCCACAAGGGAACAGAACAUGGCUUAU
rnacentral:RNase_P_RNA from 1 species